rnacentral:rRNA from 1 species
GAUGAACGCUAGCGAUAGGCUUAACACAUGCAAGUCGAGCGACCGGCACACGGGUGCGUAACACGUAUCCAACCUGCCCUUUACUCGGGGAUAGCCUGUCGAAAGAAAGAUUAAUACACGAUAUGAAGUAUGGGGAUGCGUUUCAUUAGGUUGUUGGUAAGGUAACGGCUCAGCAAGCCUUCGAUGGAUAGGCGUUCGGAGAGCAAGGAACCCCGGAAUAGAACUGCGGCACGGACCAAACUCCUAGGGGAGGCAGCAGUGAGGAAUAUUGGGCAAUGGGCGCUAGCCUGACCCAGCCAAGUAGCGUGAAGGAUGAAUGCUUAUGGGACGUAAACUUCUUAUAAAUAAGAAUCGGUAUUAGAUGAAUAAGAAUCGGCUAACGCCGUGCCAGCCGCCGCGGUAAUUC